rnacentral:rRNA from 1 species
UACGUAGGGUGCGAGCGUUGUCCGGAAUUAUUGGGCGUAAAGAGCUCGUAGGCGGUUUGUCGCGUCUGCUGUGAAAACUCGGGGCUUAACUCCGGGCCUGCAGUGGGUACGGGCAGACUAGAGUGCGGUAGGGGAGACUGGAAUUCCUGGUGUAGCGGUGAAAUGCGCAGAUAUCAGGAGGAAUACCGGUGGCGAAAGCGACUCUCUGGACGGCAACUGACGCUGAGGCACGAAAGCGUGGGGAGCAAACAGG